GUAGGUGGCAAGCGUUGUCCGGAAUUAUUGGGCGUAAAGCGCGCGCAGGCGGUUCUUUAAGUCUGAUGUGAAAGCCCACGGCUCAACCGUGGAGGGUCAUUGGAAACUGGAGAACUUGAGUACAGAAGAGGAAAGCGGAAUUCCACGUGUAGCGGUGAAAUGCGUAGAGAUGUGGAGGAACACCAGUGGCGAAGGCGGCUUUCUGGUCUGUAACUGACGCUGAGGCGCGAAAGCGUGGGGAGCAAACAGGAUUAGAUACCCUGGUAGUCCACGCCGUAAACGAUGAGUGCUAAGUGUUAGUGGGUUUCCGCCCCUUAGUGCUGCAGCUAACGCAUUAAGCACUCCGCCUGGGAGUACGGCCGCAAGGCUG
rnacentral:rRNA from 1 species